rnacentral:rRNA from 1 species
AGAGUUUGAUCAUGGCUCAGAUUGAACGCUGGCGGCAUGCUUUACACAUGCAAGUCGAGCGGCAGCGCGGGGGCAACCCUGGCGGCGAGCGGCGAACGGGUGAGUAAUAUAUCGGAACAUGUCCGGAAGUGGGGGAUAGCUCGGCGAAAGCCGGAUUAAUACCGCAUAUGCCCUGAGGGGGAAAGUGGGGGAUCGCAAGACCUCACGCUUUCGGAGUGGCCGAUAUCGGAUUAGCUAGUUGGUGGGGUAAAGGCUUACCAAGGCGACGAUCCGUAGCUGGUCUGAGAGGACGACCAGCCACACUGGAACUGAGACACGGUCCAGACUCCUACGGGAGGCAGCAGUGGGGAAUUUUGGACAAUGGGGGAAACCCUGAUCCAGCCAUGCCGCGUGAGUGAAGAAGGCCUUCGGGUUGUAAAGCUCUUUCAGACGGAAAGAAACGGUCACGGUGAAUAUCCGUGACUAAUGACGGUACCGUCAGAAGAAGCACCGGCUAACUACGUGCCAGCAGCCGCGGUAAUACGUAGGGUGCGAGCGUUAAUCGGAAUUACUGGGCGUAAAGCGUGCGCAGGCGGUUUUGUAAGACAGAUGUGAAAUCCUCGGGCUUAACCUGGGAACUGCAUUUGUGACUGCAAGGCUAGAGUGCGGCAGAGGGGGGUAGAAUUCCACGUAGCAGUGAAAUGCGUAGAUAUGUGGAGGAAUACCGAUGGCGAAGGCAGCCCCCUGGGUCGACACUGACGCUCAUGCACGAAAGCGUGGGGAGCAAACAGGAUUAGAUACCCUAGUAGUCC